GGGACACUGUUUUCGAUGGGGCUCUUUAUGCAUGUGAUCCGAUUCUGUGGGGCAGCUACGGGCCAGUGAGAGCUGUGCUUUUUCUAUACAAACCUGGGGUGAGCGUGUAGCUGGAGUGGUUGGGGGCGGGUGUGUGUGUGUGUGUGUGUGUGUGUGUGUGUGUGUGCGCGAGCUUUUCUGAGUGCUGGAAUCAUUACCAAGUAGGUUGCUAUACAGGACAAGAGGUCAGUACAAGCCGCAGCCCCGAAGGUUGUUGGCAAUGAUGAUGUCGGUGACGGCGUCGAAUACCACCUGGAUGUUAUUCGUGUCUGUGGCACAAGUCAUGUGACAAUAGAUUUCUUUGUUGGGGGAGCGGUUUUUGCUUUC